UCCACUCACCUAGUGUAGACAGGAUGAAAUGAAAAACUUUUCGUCUUAUCAGUUCAUCUCCUCUGACGGACUGUCUUCAGUCUCUUUCUCACUGCCGCAAUGUUGCAUCUCUUGCUAUCUCCUACCGCUAUUUUGAUGCCAACUGCUCUUCUGAGCUUCCUAACUGCAUGUCUCCCAUCCUACCGAGGCCUUGCUGCAUGAGGUUAUCUUUCUAAUACAAGAGUUAACCAGCAUUCAUUCAUACCCUUCUGGUACAGUCUGCUCUGUGGAGUAAAGACACAUACUUUGGCGUGAUGCCUGCGUGGUUGCUGACGCAAUAGACCGGUAUUGCGCCAAACAUCUCAUAUCUCAUUAAAACGCCAUAGUCAUUAACGUUUCAUACAGUAAUUGUCAUUCCAAACUGUAUUCGGGAACCCCUGUUCAAAUUUCUCCCAAGAGUAGUUUCCUGGAGGAAAUUUGGCAGACGCCGUCACGCACGCUAGUCUGCACAACUGUCACGCCUCAUACAGUAUGCAGCAAGCAGCCUGUCACAAUGGAAUACCUCACACGGUAUGCAGCAAGCAGCCAGUCACAACAAACAAAUUAUAUACCAAAUGUGGAAAAAAAGGAGAAAAAACGAGUCCAACGCCAUGGCAGUCACCGUGACCUGUUUGUGGGAAGUUUUUUUUUUUUUUAAAUUUAUUGUGAUGUUACUGCAAAAUGUUAUUUCAAAAUUUUGUGUUUUCGACAUAGCCAGUAAAUAGGUAGUACUGUACCUACAUGGUGAUUAAGAGUUGUGUGUAUAGCUGGGUGAGGUGUAUACAGCUAUGUAUGAACAUUGAAGACACAAUAUCCACUUUCAUCAAGUUUUGUGCUUGCUUUCUUCCAUAGGCACACCGGUAAAGUAGAGUAUUUCAAACAAAGUCUAUAUAUGUGCAUGUGUAUGUAUUUGUGUUUACAUAUGUGUAGUUUGGUAAAUAACUCUCUCUCUCUCUCUCUCUCUCUCUCUCUCUCUCUCUCUCUCUCUCUCUCUGCAGCUGAAUCAGUAGACUUCCACAACAAGAAUUCUCAAACUUCAAAGCAAAGGAGAAAAGGAAUAGAGGGAGAAGGAAUGAAUAACAGUGGUGGAGCAGAGGACCUACACUAAAUAUGGAGGAGGAGGAGGUUGGGUUGGAGAGAGGAAGCAAACGUCUAAUGGAGGAAACUAGGAGACUAAUUAUGAGGAAACAUCUUUUACAACUCACACUACUGGAGGAGGAGAUGGUGGUGGUGGUGGAGAAAGAGGAGGAGGAGGAGGUACUCAAGAUUCCUCCUCUUCGACUUACUCCUCUUCCUCUUCAUCAAGCACAACAUUCACUUCAUCUUCAUUGAAUUUUUGGUUUCUCUUCCUCUGGUUCUUCCUCCUCUUCCUUCUUUUAUGGGUCUUCUGGUCAUCACAGCAGGAGGACGAGGGAAGCUGACGACUCGUGGAGUGGGAAAAUACAAUCAGGAGCUGCGGGUUGACUCACUGCUUGAAGAUCCGCAGCAUGGCCGGCCCUUUCUAUGAGCCACACUACAAGAGGUGAAAGAAAAGACGUCAUCUCCCUUGUGUCUCCUGCCUAGUUCCUGGAUGAGGCCCCCCCCUCUGUGCUUUGGUGGGUCGUCUUCCUCAAAGUGCUGGCCAACUCCCUCAUCCUUCUGCUCAUCAUACUCAUACUGUGGAAGGUAAAGUGAGCUGCAGUGAAGAUGAAGUGAGCCUCAGGAAUGAACAGUGCUGAAUAUGUGUCAGUGUCUUGAGAAGUGCAUUGCUGUGAAGGGGUUAGUGUGAGACCUUGUGUGCAAGAGUAAACAAGAAAAUGUUGUAGGGUAGAUAAUUUUCUGCCUUAGGAUCAUGAGUUUUUGGGUCAGGUUCAGGAUUUUAAGGGGGCAAAAUUCAGAGGUCCAGGCCAGAUUUAGGAGGCAUUUAUGGGCAGACUUGGAGAUUUUCAGACCAGGUUCAGUUCUUGGGAAAGAUUCAGACAUUUGAGGUUCAAUUCACAUGGGUGAUUCCUGCAUCUGUCUAGACCCUAGUCUAGAGGCUGAACUAAUCACCAGUGACAUCACUCUGUUGACAGGAAAAUUUACCAGAGUUGCCGAGUGUCCUGUGUGAUGGGGGACUUCAAGUCUAGUAUUAAGAAUGACAGCACUACAUUCCCUUCAAAGAGAAAUGUUUGGCAGCUACAAUCAUUAAAUUUCCUAUUCACAGAGAGACACCACUUAAGGAAGCACUGUCUCUUAGACAAGUGUAAUUAGUAAGAACAUGAGGGAAGGUGCAAGAAGCCAACAGGCCAACACAUGGCAGUCCCCAUGUGAUGGUUGAUUUGAGGUAUGUAUAAGGAUGAGGGAGGGCUGACAUACUGACACACCACAUCUCAGACAGGCAUAGGUGAUAAAGAUGUAAGAAACUAAAGGAAACUGUAAGAAGCAGUGAGGCUUAUAUGUGACUCUGUGAUGUGUGGUGUGAGGCAGGUAUAGGGAUGAGGGAGGGCCUACUACAUCUCACAUAGGAACAGGUGAUAAAGAUGUAGCAACUAAAGGAAGCUGUAAGAAGUGAGGCCUACAUUUUUUUUAUGCAAAGGAGAAGCCGACCAGAGGCAACAAAAAUAGUAAAAAAAAAAAGGCCCACUUGAUUGCCAGUUGUUUACUGUAUUGUUUGUCUCUCCUUGGUGAUGUGGCAGUGUGUUUGUGAUGUGUGGUGUGAGGCAGGUUUGGGAGCUGAGGGAAGGCUUGGGUGUGUCUGUGUGCGAUAUGAAUGUGAUAUAUACAUACGAUUUAUAAUUGUAUUCUUAUAUGAUAUUUUGUAUGCUUUGAUGUGUUUAGUGAUUCAUGUUCUGAGAGAGGUUGGUAUUGGUUCCACAGCUGAGAAGUGUGUAUACUGUAUGCUUUGUCUAUCCUUGCUAUUAUAAAUGUUACUAGUACUACUGGACACUGUGUUCCCAAUACAUGUAACACUGUACUCUCAUUGUUUUAUUUUGGUUUUUGUACUGGUGUAGUGCUGUCUAAUGAAUUUUACUUUAAUAUGCA